rnacentral:rRNA from 1 species
CCUACGGGUGGCAGCAGUGAGGAAUAUUGGUCAAUGGCCGAGAGGCUGAACCAGCCAAGUCGCGUGAGGGAAGACGGCCCUACGGGUUGUAAACCUCUUUUGUCGGGGAGCAAAGCGAGUCACGUGUGACUCAUUGAGAGUACCCGAAGAAAAAGCAUCGGCUAACUCCGUGCCAGCAGCCGCGGUAAUACGGAGGAUGCGAGCGUUAUCCGGAUUUAUUGGGUUUAAAGGGAGCGUAGAUGGGUUGUUAAGUCAGUUGUGAAAGUUUGCGGCUCAACCGUAAAAUUGCAAUUGAUACUGGCAGCCUUGAGUACAGUUGAGGUAGGCGGAAUUCGUGGUGUAGCGGUGAAAUGCUUAGAUAUCACGAAGAACUCCGAUUGCGAAGGCAGCCUACUAAACUGCCACUGACAUUGAUGCUCGAAAGUGUGGGUAUCAAACAGGAUUAGAUACCCUUGUAGUC